GAUGAACGCUAGCUACAGGCUUAACACAUGCAAGUCGAGGGGAAACGACAUCGAAAGCUUGCUUUUGAUGGGCGUCGACCGGCGCACGGGUGAGUAACGCGUAUCCAACCUGCCCACCACUUGGGGAUAACCUUGCGAAAGUAAGACUAAUACCCAAUGACGUCUCUAGAAGACAUCUGAAAGAGAUUAAAGAUUUAUCGGUGAUGGAUGGGGAUGCGUCUGAUUAGCUUGUUGGCGGGGUAACGGCCCACCAAGGCGACGAUCAGUAGGGGUUCUGAGAGGAAGGUCCCCCACAUUGGAACUGAGACACGGUCCAAACUCCUACGGGAGGCAGCAGUGAGGAAUAUUGGUCAAUGGACGAGAGUCUGAACCAGCCAAGUAGCGUGCAGGAUGACGGCCCUAUGGGUUGUAAACUGCUUUUAUAAGGGAAUAAAGUGAGUCUCGUGAGACUUUUUGCAUGUACCUUAUGAAUAAGGACCGGCUAAUUCCGUG
rnacentral:rRNA from 1 species